CCACCACCACCACCACCAAAGCCUUCCAUCAGCUUUGUUUUGCAAGGCAGAAACCGAGGCACAGACGGGCUAAGGGCUUCCCAAGUCAUACAGCACCCCAUUGGUAGGACUACCCCCGCCAUCCAAGGCCCUGGCCUUUGGCCUGCUAGACUCACCUGGGCCUCAUCUAGUGGGGAAGACUUAGCCAAGAGCUGGGUAGAAGAGGAAUGAGUAAGGGAGCAGAGGCUGUGCCAUCAGGCUCCAUUUUCACAGAACAGGCUGAGUAAUGGCCCCCAUAGGUAAAUAGCUUGGUAGCCAUAGUGCAGAGCUACUGCCUCUGGUCCCAAUCUAUGCCCUGCCAAGCCCCAUUUCUGCAGGGAUAUCAUUGCUCAUCUUAAAGUGGUAGGCCAGACCCUGGCAGUGGUGAUGGUGGUGGUGGAAGUGGUGGUGGUGGUGGCAGCUGUGGUGGGGAGGCUCUAACAUCCUGAAAGCCAUCUACAGAGGACAUUGAAGACGGGGUGGGACUAAAGCUCAUGUCCACUGUGGUGGCAGAUCCUCUGGGCAUGUAAGCCUCUGUUGCUUUUGUAGGCCCAGAGCCCUUCUCCUUACACUCCCUGUGACUGGAGUGAAGGAGUGGGUAGUUGGCCUGCAGCUUGGGCGUGGCUUGCUGGGUGGAGGUGGCCAGGCUCAGGGCUGCCUGGGCUAUGACACUUCUGUGAACCUCACUCCCUCUGGGUACCUAUUAGCAUGCUACUCCAAGGGGGGCUGGUAAACGUUAACUGGCCUUCCGGCCUUUAGCAGCCAGGGGGUCAGGGAAAGGUCACUGAAACCUGCAGGAUUGAUAGUCUAGGCAUCAGUCUCUACCCAGUUCUUCCAGGGUGAGAACGAACCACCGGGAGCCCAUUUCCACAGAAAUCCUUUUCAGGGGUCUCUUUACUAUGGGCCCGGUCUUCUCCAGCCUCUAAGUCCACAUCUGGGGUUGGGAAGGUGUGUAGCGAGAGCCAGUGGGCAGACUCUGAAUAGAUGGCAGGCCUUGGAAUUUGGGGGCCUGGCCAGGUGUGACCCCAGUGCCUGACCUCUGUGGCCUGGAGGGUAAAGAGGUGGGAGGUGGGGGUUGGGAGGAGGUUACUGGCUAACAGUUACCAGGACCUUUGAAGCUAUAAAUGCUUCCCCGGGCCCCUGCUGGGAUGGAUGGGGUCAGAGUUCACUGGUUGUCUGGCUCUCCAAGUGGGCUGGAAAUCUUGCAGGCAGAUGGAGUAGGGACCCAUGGAAUGGGACAUUCCCAGAGGUGGAAGGCUCAUGGGAAAUGUUAUUUUUGGUGCUCUGGCUUGGCUCAGGCCCAACGACUUGGAGGCCUUGGGAGGGGCUGAUAGAAGUUGUUUUUGUCACAUACUCACUCGUCUCUCGGGUAUGUUUCCCAAGUUGUGUUUGGUCACACCAAGAUCGGCUUCUGAAUGAUGGAGACCUUGCAGUCGGCCUCUGCCUGACCUGGCAAGGAGGAAGAACACGGUCGGGUCUCCUGAUUCAUUGUGUCUCAAUGGGUCCAGUAGACUGGAUAACGGGGUACAUAUGAAAAAAACGGGGAGCAAGAGGAGUCAACAUUCAGGCCUUCAGCACCCGAAUGGACUAAGCUUACUGAAGUCACCGGCAGGUAACUUGAUCAACGGCUGAGACAGCGCCCAUGGUGGGAAUUAAGCAGUGCCUGAGCCGCAGAGGCGUGGGGAAAUGACCUUGAGUGACUGUGGCAUGCGGGCAGCCUUGUUUCACAUGAGGACAUCGCCUGCUCUGCAUCUGCCUUGCACACUGAAGGCUGUGUGCGUCCAGUGUCUGCAGGGUCGAUGGUGACAUUUCUCUUCCAGCCUCUUGCUCCAGAGGCGGGAGCCAUGUGUCAACAGCCAGGCCUCAGGCAGAACGGCAGAACUCCUGGUCCUGCUCUGGCUGACUGGUGACAGAUAGGGCAGCUUACAGUAGAGAAGGGAGUGGGUGGCGUUGCUCUCCGGUGUUUCCAGCCCUCCACCACCCUAGCUGCAAAAGACCAUCCCAGCAAAUGAUCUGAUCUGUUCUGAGGGUCAAGGGUCACAGUUGAGAGACGCACGGCCAGACAGGUGUCUAGGAGCCAUAUGCUGACACCAGCCAGUUCCAGAAGGUGAUACUGCUCUGUCCAGGAGCCAGUGGCACAGGAGAAACUUGAGGUCUUUUGGUUUGAUGAGCAUUGUUAGCUCUGACUUCAGAUAAGCAGAGCAAACAAGCCACAGUCCAAGUGGGAACUGGUUCUGCCCCUUUGUUUUGCUUUUCUAAGUCAUCAAAGCCAAGUUUCUCAAGCCUGAAUACCUCUGCUUUCUGAUGGUCCCAUUGUGUUUUUAUUGUGCUUCUGACAAGUGCUAACAGACCACUUUCAAAGUGUGUUGAUGUUUCGGUUGUUUUUGAAUGGCCCUUCUGUUUUCCUGCAUCUGGGCAGCAUUAGCCUCUGGCCCCAGGGAACGACUGGGUUCCUAUAAAAAGUGUACCAGGUCCCCUUAUGUGGAAAAACUGGCCAGGACAAGAUCAGACACCCAUCUGGGCAGGAACAUACAGCACAAAUGUGAACACCAUUCACCAGCUGCAGAAGCCAGGUCAGGCUGGGAAGAGGCCAGUGAGCCUUGCCAAAUGGACUGUGGGUGUUCUCUUUCUGUGUGUGGACACAUUGUGAUCUUCCUGAGGGAGGAUACCAAUAAGAAGAGUGCCUGGCACUAGGCAAUGCCACCAAAUGUUUGUUGUCCCUCUGUCCUCUUAGCUCAAGUUGCUUGUCAAUUACCAACAUAAGAGGCUCCUGAGAACUGGCCACACAGGGACCAGAGUUGGGACACACAGGACAGUCUAGAGUUCAGAGGGUUUACUAGGAGAGAGAGGCAGACCUUAUCUGUUUGAUAUCUGAGCUUUCUUGAGGGAUCUUUUGCUCUAUUGCUUGAAGGGCUAAAGCAGGGAGCGGGUAGGGCAGGGUGGGCAUGUUUCCUCCAGAUUCUAUCUAGGGGUUGUAUGGCUGGCUCGUUCCUUUGUGCUUCUGUUGUGUGUCCUGCCUUCCCUUCACCAUAACACUUUAGGCUAAGCAAAGUCAGGUUCAAAAUGGCUGCCUCCAGUGGAAGAGUCUUUGGGUAUGGACGAGGCUUCCAGGAAGUGAGCCACACGUAUCAUCUCGCUCAUUUAAUGCUAUCCGCAGACUCUCUCGCUUGUCCGAAGGCUAUCUUCAUUUUUUUUUUUCUUUUAAGCUGGCUGAGUUUCCCUUUAGCUCCAACCUCACCAGCUCAUGAACUGUCUGUCCUCCCUUGAGUUUCCAGAGUUGCAGGGCUCUCCCCUAACUGACUUCUAGUCUACUCUGGGACUCAUGUUAACGAGAUCCCAUCUUUAUUCCUUUACCCCGAUGCAUCAAUCCCUGCUCCCAUCCCCACCCCCUGUUGAAUUUAUACUAGGAGUCAGAGGAGCUGAGACUGGCUGGUGCUAAGCGAUCUGGUGCUACUGUUAGAUAAGCAGGUCGCCCUGAUGAGGGAAACACUAGCGGUUCUAAAACAGGACUAUGGAGUCUCUUACACCUGCAGUAGAUAUUUAUAUCUAUAAACACAUCGGGGUGGGCAGGGAUUGCCCUGUCUGUGUUCAUAAGGCCUUAGACCUCUUGAGUCUCCCUUCAUCUAUGGGAGGCCCUCCCUGGCUUUUGCUUCAAAAUGUAAAUUAUUGCAUCAGUCAGCUUUCUGUUACUGUAACAAAUAUCUGGACGAUCAACAUAUGAAGAGAAAAGAUUCACUUCUGUGCCUAGUUUUGGUCAUAGACUAAAAACCUACGGAGGACAGGCAACGCAGUAGCCAGCACUUGGACCUCGACUUACUUAGCCUCCCAAUUUCCACUAUGGCAAGAAUUUUGUUGGCCCCUGUUCCUUCAAGAACAAGAAAACAAAUGUAGACAGCUCUAGAGCCUGACAGGCUGAGAUGGUGGGUCACAGAGAAGUGGAACAUGGCAUCCAUGAAGCAAGAGUAUCCUCAGGAGGGUAUUUCUUGAGUCUCUGGAUGGGCCUGGUAGAGAACCGUGUGGUCUUAUGUGUGUAUAUGCUUGUGAACACCUGUCACUUUGAGAAAUUUCCAACUCUAUGUAGCAGUUUCCUUCUCACCAGGGUCUCUCCUUGUCUGAAACUUUAAUUUUAUAGCUGUGGCUGUUAAUGCAUCAUGGGUACCACCGUCAAUAAAUAUUUAUUGAGCUUUCA
rnacentral:sRNA from 1 species